CAGCCCCUCACCCUGGCCAUGAGGGUCCCUCUGUCCCUGGAGCUCCGGCCUCCUUUUAGUGCCCAUCUCCUUAGCCUGUCCCUUUCUUUCAGGUGACUCUGCCUCCCCCCAUUUGCUGAGGCCUCCUCCCUCCUUCUCCAAGACAGGCCCUGCUCCUCUUCCCCACCUGCCGUCUUAGUCCCACAUCUGGGCUCUGUUGGCUGGUUAACCAUCGAUCUUGCCUGGGACCUGGAUUGCUACUGCCAUGGCCAGCUGGGUGCUCUCCAAGUCAGGGGUGCUGUGCGAGGAGGGCGUGGCUUCUGCUCCUCUGUGUCCCAGCCACUCCUCCUGUACUCAGGCCCCAGCUCCUCUGUUCUGCCCAGUGGCCUGGCGCAGGAAAGGUCCAGGCCGCGGCUGUGACUCCCGCGGGUGAACCACAGCUCCACAGCCCCAAAUCCAAAGAUGCUCUUGCUGCAGCACGACAAGUGUUCAAAAGAGAACCAGGCCCAGCCCGGAGAAAGGAAAGCCAAAAGCCAACUGAAUGAAUGACCCUCCCCCAGAAGAGCAACCCUGCCCCCAGGCCAUCCAAGUGCGAACAUUACCAGGUGCCAGCAGGGAAAGGACUCCGCUGCCUGACGCCUCUCCCACCUGAGAGCGCAGAGUUCACCCUUUGGUGACCUCCACCGUGGCUGCAGACUUCAGGUGGUCCUCACGCAUUCACAGAACUGUCUGCUUAGGUUACAGCACUUUGGGAGGCCGAGGCAGGGGAAUCACUUGAACCUGGGAGGCGGAGGUUGCAGUGAACUGAGAUUGCGC
rnacentral:lncRNA from 1 species